rfam:Populus trichocarpa isolate Nisqually-1 chromosome 3, whole genome shotgun sequence.
ACAUGGAAGUACCAUGGUAAUGCGUACAGAAAUUUAGUUUUAUGGUUCAGCAUCUUCUUCCUCUCAUGCCUAUGUUGGGGUUUUCAUUUGGGAAUCUGAUUCCAACUUACAUCU